UCUCCAUCGAUGUGACUUAGUAGCUGACC
rnacentral:piRNA from 1 species